rnacentral:sRNA from 1 species
GCCCUGUGCCCCUACACCCUCACCUCUUUCUAAUGGGGUGGUAAACGAGGAGGGGCAAUUCAGAUGCCUAAGAAGCUUAGGCCCAAAUCUCAGAGACAGCGUGGGGCUGUUGCCCCCCUCACCCAGGUCCAGCAGGUGGCCUGUUCCCCCACUUAUAAACAGGCCAAGCGCAACGCCAGGAGCUAUCAGGGCCGCCGCCGCCGCCAUCGUUGCAGCCAGAAUACCGCUUCCAGGGUUCCUAGCCAACUGCAAGCAGUUGACUCUUCGUCUACUUCCUGCAGGACCUACAAGAACAGUGAGGAGCUUCGGUCUCGUAUUGUGUCUGGAAUCAUCACACCUAUCCAUGAGCAGUGGGAAAAAGCUAACGUAAGCAGUCCCCACCGGGAGUUCCCCCCUGCUACUGCCAGAGAGGUGGACCCACUCCGGAUUCCUCCACACCACCCACACACCAGUCGGCAGCCUCCCUGGUGUGAUCCCCUGGGCCCGUUUGCUGUCGGGGGAGAAGACUUAGACCCUUUUGGGCAUCGGAGAGGUGGCAUGAUUGUGGAUCCCCUGAGAUCUGGCUUCCCAAGAGCACUUAUUGACCCUUCCUCUGGCCUCCCGAACCGACUUCCUCCAGGCGCUGUGCCCCCAGGAGCUCGCUUUGACCCCUUUGGACCCAUUGGGACCAGCCCACCCGGACCUAACCCAGACCAUCUCCCCCCGCCGGGCUACGAUGACAUGUACCUGUGAAGGCCUCAAGAAUGUAACAUCCCAGGCUUCCCUCCACUCUCCUGGAGCUGCCACUGCUGUCCCCAUCAGCAACCAUGUUCUUGCAGGCUGGGGGCAAGGGAUUCUGCUCAUGUGUUUGCAGACCGGCUGGGAUAGCCUCCCCACCCCUUAUCAGAGCCAAGACACCUGCUGCAGCUCUCCACCUAGCUGCAGAUAGCUCCCAAAGAGAAAUCAGUGUGUCUCUUUCACCACCAGCUCCUCCCCUUUCACCACCAGCUCCUCUCCACUUCCCAAGGGAGACUCCGGCAACCUCCAGCAACAUAUAUCCUCGACCAGAUGCAGUGCUAUAAGAACAGAACGCAUUUUGGAUGUUAUUAUUAAGAACCAAAUGUCAAUACAGAACUCAUGUUGCCGGUUUCCCACUUUUCUUUUUACAUUAAUGCAUAGCUGCUUCCAUUUAUGAGACUUUAGAGUUUGAGUUUCUGUAGGGCUGAAUGACUCUUUUUCCUGCCCAGGACCUAUUCUUGCUUCUCAGGCACCUUCUGUUCAUUAAUUGCCAUUGCUCCUGACAUCACUAAAAUGGGUCCCCAUCUGGCUGCAUGAAUGGAAAUGAGUGACUGGAAAUCCCAUAGGCCACAAGAAUGACUUUCACAAGGGCAGGAACAUUGUGGAAAGACUACAUCAUUCUGAUGAGGCAAAAUCCUCCAGCUAUUCCUGUCUGGGCCAGUUUUGUAGGUCCAUCUAUGCAUGGGCAGCAGUAGUCAAAAAGCCAAGGAAAAAACAGAGCAGACCUGAAGGCUAAUCUUAUUUUUGCCACUAACUUAGUGAAUGACCCUAAGCAAGUCCCUUCUCCUUUUAGGGCCUUGUGCCAAGCCUAUGAAAUUGGAGGUGGCUUUCCUGCUCUAAAGCAUUUUGAUGUCUCAUUCUGUGUUUGGUAACCCCUAUAAACGGGCAGAGGAAAAGAAUGACGGUUCAAGGCCAUACUUCCCUUGAACCUUGUGUGGUUCUUGCCUAACUCUGUGGUUUUUGGACCCCAUGGGGCCCAGACAGAGCACAGGAGCAUGGGCUACAUUUGAGUGUGGUGUUGAACUUCGGGAGGAGCAGGGAGCCCUGUACCUUGUGUCCCGGCCCACCUGACCUUUGGUGUUCUCCGGAUCCUUUUCAGCCCGAGACCUGACAGACGCGGGCAGUGAUGAGCCCUGUUCUGGAGUGGAAAGAGCACGAUAGAGCACCAGGCUAAGAGGCACGAGAUCAAGGCGGUAGUCACUUCCGCUCUUCAGCUAGCAUUUCAACCAUAUGUGGGUCCUUUCAUUUCUCAGCUCUCUGGAUUCCUUCCCCUAAAUUAGGACCUAUUAUUUACCUGUAGGUAAGCAAGCUACCGUAGCUCUUCUGAGGUAUCUGCCAGGCUGUUUUCUAUAGCCUCAGAUUGCCUAUCUGCUUAGCCUGAGAACAGGUAGAUGAAAACUAAACUGAUGCCUAGGCCCAGGGUCAGUCUCAGAUGGAAGCUGGGCCUGGGUGGGGGAGGCUAGCAUGCGUGACUCCCUAGGUAUUUCUGUCAGUCCCCAUGGCAAGCAGUGAUUUAGUAAAAGACCCCAGAGUCAGGGAAGCCAACCACCUUGAAACCUUUAGAACAUCUCUGCUUUGGAGAAAGACCCAGAGAUCAGGCGGAGGUGCAGAUUCAAUCAUUACUCAUAACCUUCUUUGAGAGCUGGCAAAUGGGAGGAGUGCUAGUCUUUGUUUUGGAAUUGGACCAUACUUGCAACCAAAAGGACUUAGAGCAGUUUGCUCAUAAAGGCAUCCUUUAUUAUAAAAGGAAGUAUUCAAAGGAUGAUAGAGACCAUCAGACAGAAGCAGGGAAGGUAGAUAAUUUUUAGGACCUUGAUGUGAGGAAAAGAUAAAAUUUAAACAAUAAAUUGCCACUUAGAUUUUCUAGUAGCAAAGGCUGAAAAGAUAGUCGUAUACAAAAUUCUGUUUUCUGAAAACAAAAUUGUGAUUCACCUGCAGAAUCGGCCAUUUUUUUUUGUGAGUUUCCUUGCAUCAAGGACACUGAGAAACACAGUCAUUGUCUUAGGUGUUCUAUGGGAGGAAGUGAAUAGAGCCUUUAGGAACUUCCUGGUCAAGCUUAUGGUGCUUAUUUUGGUCUGGGCCACUUUCCUCCUUCCAGUCAUGAGUAAUCAUCAAGCAGCAAGUUGGAGUGUUUCAGGAGUAUAUUUUGUAGAACCCAAAAGAUUGGAGCCUUAAGAAUAAACAUCAGCACUAAGUGACCUGUUCCUCUUUUUAAAUAGCAGCUUUAUUGAGAUAUAAUUUACAUACCCAUAAUUUACAUACCCAUUUAAAGUAUACAAUUCAGUGGGUUUAGUAUGUUCACAGUGUUGCACAUCCACCACCAUUUCUAAUUCCUGAACGUUUUUACCACCUCAUAAAGAAACCACACACGCAUUGGCAUGACUCCCCAAUCCCUUGCUCCCAGCCCCAGGCAACCGCUAACAUCUGUCUCUAAAGAUUUUUUUUUUUCUGGACAGUUCUCAUAAAUGGAAUCACUCAGUAUUAUGGCCUUUUGUGUCUGGCUUCUUUCAUUUCAUGUGAUGUUUUCAAGAUUCAUUCAUGCUGUAGCAUGUAUCCAUGGUAUGGAUAUAUCACAUUUUGCAACAAUUGGGUUGUUUCUACAAAAAGGCUAUUAUGAAUAAUGCAGCCAAGAACAUUUGUGUACCAGUUUUUGAGUUUUCAGUUGUUUGAGUUUCAGAUGUUUUCAGUUCAUUUGGGUAUAUACCAAGGAGUGGAAUUGCUGGUUCACAUGGUAGCUCUAUAUUCUACUUUGUGAGGAAUUGCCAGACUGGAAGCUGUACCAUUUUACAUUUCCACUGGUAACUUAUGAGGGUUCCAGUUUCCCCACAUCCUCACCAACACUUGCUGUUUUUCAUGUUUAUGGCCAUCCUAGUUAGUGUGAAGUAGCAUCUCAUUGUGGUCUUCUCUUCCAUUUUUUAAAAAAGAAUUUUGACCUACACCAAGCAAGGCAGAGACCAGAGUCAGUCACCCUCGGGGAGCAGUCUGUGGUUUUGAUAAUCACCACCUUGGGAUGAACAUGGCUGGUGAGCUGCAGAGGAGUUGAUUUGACUUUUGGGGAUGGUUCUAGGCUGGAUGUGAUACAGGGCAGGUUCUGUGUCUAGAGAAAGUUCUCAUGACCUUUUCAGGUCUAAUGAGAUUCACAUCACUUUGGUUUGGUUUGAAAUUUCUUUGUUUAUCCAGUGAAUUACAAGUAGAAUAAAGAUCUGGUUCUAAAUUGUC